ACUUGCUCCUCCACCACGAGGCCUCCAUCGACGCCUUCAUCUCGCGCGCGCUCGACCACCUCCACUCCAUCUCCGCCAAGGGGUCACCACCGGCUCCGGAUCCGGCGCCCGCCGCCGAUGCCAGCACGGCCAAGUUAUACAUAAGUUUUCGUUGACCGGAAAACCCCUCCCACAGCGCCCAGCCGGCGUCCACCCGGCGCGCCUACACGAGGUGCGCUCGUUUGAGGAGUGCUUGCGCCCGCUGUUGGACGCGGUCGUCACAGCGCCCGACGCAACAGGCUGGUCCUCGUCGGCCAUAGCCAUGGCGGCUCUAGCCUCGCACUCGCCAUGGAGGGGUUCCCGUGCAAGGUCACCGCCGCCACUGUGUUUGUGGACGCCGCGUUGCCAUGGGUCGGCAAGCACAUAGGCAUCUCCACUAUGGGGGCAAGAGGCUCUAGCGGAUGCUGGACACCGACGCCAUCCUCUUCCCUACCAUUAACAUCAACUACUCUGUCACCAAGAGCAAGGUGAUUCAAACGUGCCUUCCUUUGAAUCCAUUUCCUUUCAUAUCUAACAUUCUUGUUGUGUGGAUCUAGAUAAUGCAUGAUUAGCAGUGUGAGAUUUACUUGUUUCUUGAUGUUGCUAUGAUAUAUAUUAGUGGUGGUUAGACAGGACCGGAUUGCGGCUAGUUCUACCAUGGGUUUCAGCACUCUGAAUGUCGGAUGGGACAUUUCCCUAUCAAUUUAUUCUCUCAACGAGCGGCAACUAGCGAACAUGCCAUAUUUAUGUAUUGUAUUUUUCUAGGAGAAGAAGAGAAACAAUAACAUUUUCAAUUCCCUGUCUCUAAAUAGAUACGCAAUUUGGUUCCAGAGGAGUCAACUUUUUACCUUUUUCAAGAAAAAGAAGAGAAACAAUAACAUAUUCAGACUUCUAUCAUAACAUAAAUAUAUGUCUCAUUUAUCUCACUUUCUGAUGAGUAAUUUGUUAUCAAUCAGUCAUAAGAUUUAUGUCAUAAGACUUCUGUCAGACUUAUUUUACACUUAUCUGAUUUCCUUCUAGAACUAUGACAUUUAUAGUUUCUAAUUGAUAUACUUGCUCUGUAAAGGGUAAAGACUUGCAUUGUUGAACUGUUCCAUUGCAACAACUCCCAUAUAACCUAGAUGCCUUAGUUAAAUUGAAUAUUAGAUUUUCUAUGGAUUAUUAUGGUAAAAAUGGGUGUGGGUUGGAUGGCUUUGGAGAUUUGAUCUAUGUUAAUAUCUGGUGCUUGCGUUGAAUCCAUGGAGGUCACAUAGGAAGUUCUAUAUAUCAAAUGUUAUAAGGUGCCAUUAAAAGAAACAUGGAAUUGUAUGUCCCUCCAAAAAACUCGACCAUAAGGCAAGGCCUAAGUGAUUGCUCUUGUUUUUUUUGAAAUCGUGUGCAACUCACUUUGGGUUGUAACUUGAUAUGCAAUCAUGUGAAAAUAUGCUCUUCUUUUAGUUUCUGGGAUUUAGUUUAUCUUAGCUGAAAGUAGGUUUCAUUCUUUGCCUUGUAGAUGCAUUUGAUACAGAUCAACUUGUUGAGUGCAUGGGAAAGCUAAAAAGUGGACUGUCUGUGAAUAUAUCUAUAUAUGAUUUUAAGAAUCACAUGUGAUGCUCUGAAAAUUUUAGGAAGGUAGGGAAAUAAAUUAUUGGUGCGAAGAGAAUAAUUUUAUUAUUAUUUAUGAUCUAAUUUGCAUAAACUUGUUUACAAAUUUUUUUAAAGUACAUUCUUUCUAUAAUCAUAGGUGAAGAGAAUGUUAUUUAUUCCUCCUAGGACACCCCACCAAUUCCGAUAAUUUAUGCUGCAAAGCUUGUGGGUCUACCCCUAACCAUCGAUUCUAGCCUGGCUGCUCGCUCGACACCCGCCCUACAGUUUGCUUCCAGGUAAGUCUUUGCAAUAUGCUAAACAAGAAAUCUAUCUUCUACUACAACUAAUGCCAUCAACAUAUUUCUGAGCUUCCGGCUACAGUUAGAGCACAUCUUUCACAUGCAUCUUUUAGUGUUAGUGAUUCAAUGAUUUCUGUUUGCGGGACCCACUUUUGUGUUCUAAAAACAUUAUUAUUUUGAUUAAUAAUGGACUGAAAAUCUGUUGUAAAAAUUUCAUACAGAAGUAUGAUGAUGUAACAUUCACUUGUAAGUAUAUGUUUUCCUUUCCCUUUUUUCAUCGUAGUAUGUGUGUUCUAAUACUGACCUACUUUUUUUAUGUAUUCACAAAUUCACAGAAACUGUUUUGAUAUAUUCACAAAUUGUUGUCUGAGCAUGCUAAGACUGAUGUGAGCUGUGCAGGAAGCUUAGGGUCUCCUGAUGUGCUCAUACAUGGGGCAACAAGAACAUGGGGUGUCUGAUGCUUGUACACUUAUAGGCAUCACCAUGAGGGUGGAGCUGACAUCCAUACCAUCUUUAUAAAGAAGAGCAAAUUUAGGAUUCUGCUGUCAUGUUCUCGAAGGUUGCUGCGAUUGCGGUGGGUGGAGUGGCGGUUGAUGGGUAAUCCUCGACUGAGUUAAUCAUGAUCACAGGGAAGACGGGUCCAAAAGGCUCCUUCCAUGCGAUCCUCAUGUCAGGGUAGACAUGAUCCAACAGCAACGACCAGAUAAGGAUGCCUUCUCUCCUGUACUCCUGCUAGAAGGUUGCUCCUUUCUCCUUUGCAUCCAUCACCAAACCCUCAAUGAAGUUGGUUGAGGAUUCUGUUACAACUAGGUUGAUGUCAGAGUUGUUCUCAGGUGGGCCAACUUUUAGUUUUGCCAACUUGGCGUUAACCUUCUAUACCACGACAUCAACGAUUGAUUCCAUGAUCAGCACUACUUUGACAGCAGUGCACCUCUGGCACUGAUGACAACACAUUUGAGUACAAGCUCGAGAAGCAUCAUAGAUAGGAGAGUAUGUUACUAGAAAUUGUAAUACUGUUCUUAGGAAAAGGGUAAGGAUAAGCAUGUGACAACACUCUUGUGUACGUGACACCAACUUGAAUACCACAUUUCAUGUUCUAGUAGCUAAAGGUUUUUAUUGAUUACAAUUAUUGCUUUCACAUUUCUAAGUUUUCAACAAAUCAAAAUGCAAUAAAAAAAUCCUAUUUUGAGACAGUCAAAAUCACUAUUAAGUACCUGUAUGAGAAGCCACCCUUCACUAUGCUUGCUGCAACCAAAUCUAGAUUUGCAUCCUCUAGCACAAUGCAAGCAUCUUUCUUCAAGCUCCAUCUGAAGAGAGACCUUUCCAGUCUUCUUUGAAAUGGCUAUACCAGUACCACCACCAAUAAAACUAAGCAAAGAAACAAUGUUGUCUCACGAAAACCAAAUAUAUCAAUUGUUGGCAAGAGAUGUCAAUGCUUACCUUAUGCAGUUAACUUCACUACUCUAGAAUGCAUUGUAAGAAAAUCUCCUAUUUCAGAGUCACACAACUACUAGCCAGGUGGAAGCAGUGUACCAUAUGAAGUGCACCCACAAAUGGCAUAACCCUACUAAACAAUGUUACUUCACAUAAGCAUUUUCACUUUGAAAGGCGUUAGCUUCACACACUCAGGAAGGAGUUAAGAUUAGCCCAAAAGACUCGUAUAUCUGAGUUGGAGGCUUGAACACAAGAGCAUUGUCUACAAUUAGUGUUGGGCCAAUCUUAGAAACUGCUAAGUUGACAUUAUAGUUGAAUGGCGGGAUUGCCAAAACCACUCCAAGGGGUAUCUGCAUCAAUAGUACAAUAUACUAGUGCAAGGAAACAAUAGUAAUGGCUGAAUAAUUUUGGGGCGUAAUAUUGUUCAGGGGAGCACCAAUUGGCAACUUAGUACCAUUAAAACUGUCUGAAAUACAUAUUUUCUACAAGCUACAACAUGCAUGAAUAUUGGUUGCUAAUACAACUUAAUAUCAUGAAACCUAUAUUUCCAUUGCAUUCUGUCUCAAGGAAGUGCUCAAUUUUUUUGCUUAGCUUUUCUGCCAAUGAUUUUUAGAUUUAUAUUGAAGUUUUUAAACCAGUUGUUCCUAUGGUUGAAGGCUGGAGAAAAGCUUGUUCGUGUUGGUCAAGAUACUCGCUUGAACUACAUAGCUAUUGAUCUACAAAUACCCUCGAACUAAGCCAUAUCCCAGAUCAAGUGUCAAGUUGGAAACUGGUUCUCACUUGGAGCAGAUCCAUGGGAUGCUUUGUACGGGGGAGAGAAUAUCCUAGCGUUCGACUUGGCUUCGAUCUUCUUGGCUUUGAUCUUCUCUUGCAGCAGGUGUGCUCCCAGUUCACAAGCUGUCCAACUCAACUCUUGGGGAAGACCUCGAUUCGCUCAUCUCCGUCUCAGACCUGCAAUACUACAACAACAUGAUGGAGUAGUACGAGAAGCUGACCAUCGCCCUGAGUGUUGGGCAUCAUCAUAUGAUUUAUAUAAUUGACAUGCAACUAUAACCUCUUACUAUUGAAU